rnacentral:rRNA from 1 species
GUCGUAAAACUCGUGCCAGCCACCGCGGUUAUACGAGAGGCCCAAGUUGACAGCCAUCGGCGUAAAGAGUGGUUAAGUUAACCCCAACAUGACUAAAGCCGAACGCCUCCAAUACUGUUAUACGCAUUCGGAGGUAUGAAGCUCAACUACGAAAGUGGCUUUAAAAUGCCUGACCCCACGAAAGCUGUGAAACAAACUGGGAUUAGAUACCCCACUAUG